CUUGGAAGUUGAGCGGAAAGCGACGCGGCUGUGGAUCUACCAUACCUAUUGACUAACUAUGGAAGAUUAUACUAAAAUAGAGAAAAUUGGAGAAGGUACCUAUGGAGUUGUGUAUAAAGGUAGACACAAAACUACAGGUCAAGUGGUAGCCAUGAAAAAAAUCAGACUAGAAAGUGAAGAGGAAGGGGUUCCUAGUACUGCAAUUCGGGAAAUUUCUCUAUUAAAGGAACUUCGUCAUCCAAAUAUAGUCAGUCUUCAGGAUGUGCUUAUGCAGGAUUCCAGGUUAUAUCUCAUCUUUGAAUUUCUUUCCAUGGAUCUGAAGAAAUACUUGGAUUCUAUCCCUCCUGGCCAAUACAUGGAUUCUUCACUUGUUAAGAGUUAUUUAUACCAAAUCCUACAGGGGAUUGUGUUUUGUCACUCUAGAAGAGUUCUUCACAGAGACUUAAAACCUCAAAAUCUCUUGAUUGAUGACAAAGGAACAAUUAAACUGGCUGAUUUUGGCCUUGCCAGAGCUUUUGGAAUACCUAUUAGAGUAUAUACACAUGAGGUAGUAACACUCUGGUACAGAUCACCGGAAGUAUUGCUGGGGUCAGCUCGUUACUCGGCUCCAGUUGACAUUUGGAGUAUAGGCACCAUAUUUGCUGAACUAGCAACUAAGAAACCACUUUUCCAUGGGGAUUCAGAAAUUGAUCAGCUCUUCAGGAUUUUCAGAGCUUUGGGCACUCCCAAUAAUGAAGUCUGGCCAGAAGUGGAAUCUUUACAGGAUUAUAAGAAUACAUUUCCCAAGUGGAAACCAGGAAGCCUAGCAUCCCAUGUCAAAAACUUGGAUGAAAAUGGCUUGGAUUUGCUCUCAAAAAUGUUAAUCUACGAUCCAGCCAAAAGAAUUUCUGGCAAAAUGGCACUGAAUCAUCCAUAUUUUCAUGAUUUGGACAAUCAGAUUAAGAAGAUGUAGCUUUCUGACAAAAAGUUUCCACAUCUUAUAUCAAGAACAGAUAGUUGUGUUUUUAUUGUUAACUCUGUCUAUUUUUGUCUUAUAUAUUUCUCUGUUGUCAAACUUAAGCUGUACUUCAUCUUCUAAUUUCAAAAGUAUAACUUAAAAUGUAAAUAUUCUAUAUGAAUUUAAAUAUAAUUCUGUAUAUGUGUGUAGGUCUCACUGUACCAACUAUUUGUUACUAUAAUAAAACUAUAAUAUUGAUGU